AGUUGGUGAGGUAAUGGCUCACCAAGGCGACGAUCCGUAACUGGUCUGAGAGGAUGAUCAGUCACACUGGAACUGAGACACGGUCCAGACUCCUACGGGAGGCAGCAGUGGGGAAUAUUGGACAAUGGGCGAAAGCCUGAUCCAGCCAUGCCGCGUGUGUGAAGAAGGUCUUCGGAUUGUAAAGCACUUUAAGUUGGGAGGAAGGGCAUUAACCUAAUACGUUAGUGUUUUGACGUUACCGACAGAAUAAGCACCGGCUAACUCUGUGCCAGCAGCCGCGGUAAUACAGAGGGUGCAAGCGUUAAUCGGAAUUACUGGGCGUAAAGCGCGCGUAGGUGGUUUGUUAAGUUGGAUGUGAAAGCCCCGGGCUCAACCUGGGAACUGCAUCCAAAACUGGCAAGCUAGAGUACGGUAGAGGGUGGUGGAAUUUCCUGUGUAGCGGUGAAAUGCGUAGAUAUAGGAAGGAACACCAGUGGCGAAGGCGACCACCUGGACUGAUACUGACACUGAGGUGCGAAAGCGUGGGGAG
rnacentral:rRNA from 1 species